CCAAGGAGCCAUGUGACUCAGCGCGAGGCCCUGCCUCAGCAGAAGCUCUGAGCCAGAAGCCACAUAUAUUGCUGGAGACAACAUGGCACAAGGGAAAAGCCCUGAAGAGGACAAAAGAUCAGCUUUCAAAAUAGGAAGAACUAGCAAGAGUGGUACAAAACUGCAGGUCAUUGGGCUGGCCACCAGGUAUUCCCACCCACCAGAAGCUGGCUGUUGUACUCACCCGGAACCAUGGUGCACCACCACAGCGGCGAGGUCAUACAGGCAGCUCUCCGGGCCACUGUUCUCAGGCUACAGAACAAGGAAGAAGGAGCAGUGGUCAAUGACAUCAGUAUCUCGAUGACCUCUACCCUCUCCAUGUGAUGACAAUCUUACUGAAGAGCCAUUUUUUCACCAUGCUAAAAAGGUAUACUGCUGAGAAAGAAUCAAAUGAAAAGAAAAAAGACUCAACAAGACCUCACUCAUAUUAACUGGACUCUACAAGCAGUGAGCAUCCAGACCUGCAUUUGGUUACAAAAGAAGCCUUCAAGCUAUUUUCAUCAGCUUCCUAAUCAAGUUAAAAAAUAAACCACAAAACUGAGUAUCCA
rnacentral:lncRNA from 1 species